UUGUCAUUCAAACAAAAUAAUAUCUAAAACAUAGAUUUGGAAUAUGACAAGUUAGGGGAAUAUGUCACGGGGAGUGUGUUUGCAAGGAAGCCUAGUAAAGCCUCGAACUCGCCAAGUAACGUGACAAUUUCAUCCCCUUAAAAGACACUACUACAAUACCCAUGUAAUCUCGACACUAUAGCCUUGACACAAUGGACAACCGUCAAGGGUAAAAUAUAGUUCGCGCCUCACCUCGAUGGUUUUUAGUGUUACAAGUGUCGAAAUUAUUAUGUGGCCGGUGGCCCCCAUGUGAUGAAAAGAGGACCAGUAGUUUCAAGCCCGCGAAAUGAAAUUUUAGGCUGAAAUUAAAGGCGGUCAUUUUAAAGUUAAAAAAAAAAACAAAAAAAAAAAAAAUUAAAACAAAACCCAUGUACAGUACUACUACUAGAGUACCAAAGCGAUUAGUUUCCUCUCUUCGAUCUUAUUAGCUUUUGAACCCUAACAUUACCCCUCUUUUGAUUUUGUUAUUCACAUCUCAAAAACAAUUGCUUCUCAAUCGCUCAUCAUCCAAGAUCCGAUUUUUGAAGGGGACGAAAAACAACAACAUAAUCUAGGUAACAAUUUGGAGUAGGCUUGAAUCACGAUUGCUCUCUUCCAGCGAAUUCAGCAAUUGAUACGAAGGAGUUAGAUGAUAUUCAAUCCAAGUUUGUUUUGACACUUUGUAAAAUGGAACAAGAGUUUCUACCAACAUUUCUCAAUCAUGGUUCAUCUAUUGAUUCAUUUAGUGGAUGAGGUUAGACACGGUGGACCAGUUCAUUACAGAUGGAUGUAUCCCGUUGAAAGGUACAAGGCUAUAAAUAAAUAUAGGAAUAUCACUAGAUCCGAUUGAUUGCUUGGUUAGAGGUGAGAGGCAUUAUUGAUUGUCUGAGUGCUUUACUUUUUUACACAUGAGCAGGAGUACAGAACUGAGCCAAUUAAUUGGUUCUUUUUUUUUUUGUCUUUUUUCAUAGUUAUGUUGAAAACUACGUCUUUUUUUGGAAAUUCACUUCGUAUUAUUACUGGUGGAUACAAAUAAACUGGUGGCAGUAGUUAGUUAUGCAACAUCUUGUCAUAGUAGUCGACUUUAUGGACUUAAUUUCUCUUUACCUUUUUUCCCUUUUAGGUUAGUCAAGAUGAGUUAUCAUAGCAAAAGAACAAGGGAGGCUGGCCUUGCAGCCAUAAAUGUACCUUAUACAGUUUCAAAUAAGCCUCCAAAAUUGGUAUCAUCACAACCACUACAAAAAGAGCCUAAAGCUUCAAUACCUUCUACCUUAGUCCAAAAAUCAGGGGAAGCUAAUGGUAGAUGGGGACCAUUUACCCCACCAAACACUCAAAACCCACCUUCAUUUUCCACUACUAAUAUGAAUACACAACCUCAACCCCCAAAAAGCAAUCCAAUAUGGAAGAAACCACUCAUCAAUGUACCAAGUUCUCUUAGCAAAACUAGCACUCAAGACCUCCCUUUAUCUUCAACUACUAGCACAAGUAAACCUCUGCCCCAAAAAAGUAAUGUUGAAUGGAAGAAGCAACACAAUGUACAAAAUUCUCCGACCAUAACUAACCCACAAGACCUAUGUUAAUCUUUUACUGCUAUUAUAAGUGCACAACCUCAACCUUAAAAAAGCAUUCCUACAAUGAGAAACCCAACUAAUGUAAAAAACCCUCCAAGCAUAACUAAGACUCACAACAUCCCUUCAUCUUCUACACAAAAUACCUCUAUCGUUCCUCAAAAAAUUCCACCUCCUAAGCUAUCAAAACCACCUCUAUUCCCUUCUACUUCCCAUACUUCUCAUCAACCAUUGUUACAAGAAAUUCAAUAUUAUCAUACUGCACAUAAGGAUAAAGAGAAGCAUGCAUGUGAUUGAGCUGCAAAAGAAAAAUCUAAAAUUUUCAAGCUUCGACGUCGCGCAUCUCUUCCUAAAUGGAUUGGUGCAAUUGAGUAUGAUGACAAGGAAGAGGUUAUAACUAUUGUAGCAAGCAAACAAAAUCAAAAUGCUGAUGGUAAGAAGGAAGCGAUUAAUUAGUGGACCAAUUCGGCAAAUUGAGGUUUGGAAUAACAAUGGUGUUAAAUAUGUUGUGUGCAUUUCAAUGAUUUUUGCCAACCAAUUUGGAAAGGUGGGCAUGUAUUGGUCCAAUUCCUUGGUAGCAUUGCAAAGGAAGAGCAAUACUGCCCACUUUCAGAGAAUACUUGGCUUAAGUUGGACGCCUCUUUUAAGAGGGACAUCAGUAAAUCAAUAAUGGUAUAUAUUCCAUUUGUCACUUAGUUAAAAUUUGUGUUACAUAUCAUUUACAUUUGUUCAUGGAAUUAUGUUUUAUUAAGGACCGCUUUGUGAUCCCCGAUGAGGAGAAGUAUUACAUCCAAGCUCUACAGCGUGUUGAUAAAGUUUGGAGGAAUUAUAAACAUGAUCUUAAGAAACGAUACUUUAAAACCAGAUGAGAAUUCAAUAACAGAAAUUGUUGAUAAACCCCCAAAUGGAGUAACAAGAGUAAUUGAUUUAAUUUGGUUAACUACUGGAAUUCAGAGAGAGGGAAAGUAAGUUUUUAUUAUAUGAAUAAUGUUACAGCUAUCGCAAUGAAAUCAUAUAUUAUGUUUCAUUUUUCUCUAUUAUAAAUUUUGAAAGUUGUAUGAAUUAUUGCAGGAAUUGUCUUAAAUCAGAAAAGAGGCAAGAGCAUCUCUAAACCAAAUUCAUAAUUCUGGUGGUACAAGCUUUGCAAAUAGACGUGCUGAUUAUGUAUGAUUGAUUUACCCAUUGAUUACAAAUAUAAUGCAUAGUGAUGCAUGAAAUUGUGGUUGGCAUUUUUUGAAAACAAUUCAAUAUGUAACCUAUAUAUCUCUAUUAAAUGUAAUUUAUAGGAAGAUGAGCACGGAGAAGAAAUGAGCCUAUAUGAACUGUGGCAAAAAUGUUAUAGAAGAAAGGAUGGAACUUUUUACAAAGGCACAUACACAGAAGAUUUCCUAGUAUUAGUUCUUUUUGGUUGUUUAUCUUCUAAUUUUAGAUAAAUUUACUCUAACAUAUACAUGUGUUAUAUAUGUUGUGAAGGAAGAUGUUAAGGCUAAGGCUGAAAGCUUAAAGCUUACAUACCUUGAUGGUUCAAAGGUCGCGUAUUAAAAUAGAGAAUGAAGCUUUUGAGGCUACACUAUAUGGUGGACAGAAACAUGAAAAACCACAAGGCUUCGGUUUUGGAGUUCGAAGUGGAGACAUUUAUGGGGUGCGUGGUGCACUUAGAAAAGAAGGGAUUGGAAAAGGAACAAGAGUUGUGGAAAUGGACAACAUGUCAUUGGAGGUAUCAAGUUUAAAAGAAGAAAAUAAGGAGCUUCAUGAGUAAAAUGAAGAGAUAAAAGGAAAGUGUGAUGAGAAUACAAAGCUACUUAAGACAAUGGCAACACUAUUUUCUCAAGUUUUAGAAUCCUUUCGUAGUGGAGAAGGUUCAUCACAACUUCUAGAUACAGCAUAACUAGCCUUGCGUAUGGCUAACCCUUAGGUUAUAUGGUUAAAUAAUUCCUCACUCCCUUCCUUGUUUAUUUGGCUAUGGCAAUCAACAUAUAUUAAUUUUGACUUUGGUAA